CCUACGGGAGGCUGCAGUAGGGAAUAUUCCUCAAUGAGGGAAACCCUGAAGCAGCGACGCCGCGUGGAGGAUGAAGGUUUUCGGAUUGUAAACUCCUUUUGUUAGAGAAGAUAAUGACGGUAUCUAACGAAUAAGCACCUGCUAACUCCGUGCCAGCAGCCGCGGUAAUACGGAGGGUGCAAGCGUUACUCGGAAUCACUGGGCGUAAAGAGCGCGGAGGCGGGAUAGCAAGUCAGAUGUGAAAUCCUAGGGCUUAACCAUAGAACUGCAUUUGAAACUGUUAUUCUAGAGUAUGGGAGAGGUAGGUGGAAUUCUUGGUGUAGGGGUAAAAUCCGUAGAGAUCAAGAGGAAUACGCAUUGCGAAGGCGACCUGCUAGAACAUAACUGACGCUGAUGCGCGAAAGCGUGGGGAGCAAACAGGAUUAGAUACCCCAGUAGUC
rnacentral:rRNA from 1 species